AUUGAACGCUGGCGGCAGGCCUAACACAUGCAAGUCGAACGAGUGGCGGACGGGUGAGUAAUGUCUGGGAAACUGCCCGAUGGAGGGGGAUAACUACUGGAAACGGUAGCUAAUACCGCAUACCAUCGGAUGUGCCCUGAUGGGAUUAGCUAGUAGGGGGGGUAACGGCUCACCUAGGCGACGAUCCCUUGCUGGUCUGAGAGGAUGACCAUCAACACUGGAACUUAGACACGGUCCAGACUCCUACGUGAGGCAGCAGUGGGGAAUAUUGGACAAUGGGCGAAAGCCUGAUGCAGCCAUGCCGCGUGUAUGAAGAAGGCCUUCGGGUUGUAAAGUACUUUCAGCGGGGAGGCGUUACCCGCAGAAGAAGCACCGGCUAACUCCGUGCCAGCAGCCGCGGUAAUAC
rnacentral:rRNA from 1 species